GACGGAGGAUGCAAGCGUUUAUCCGGAAUGAUUGGGCGUAAAGCGUCCGCAGGUGGCAGUUCAAGUCUGCUGUCAAAGACCGGGGCUUAACUUCGGAAAGGCAGUGGAAACUGAACAGCUAGAGUAUGGUAGGGGCAGAGGGAAUUCCUGGUGUAGCGGUGAAAUGCGUAGAUAUCAAGAGGAACACCUGAGGUGAAGACGGGUUGCUGGGCUGAUACUGACGCUGAGGCGCGAAAGCUAGGGUAGCAAACGGG
rnacentral:rRNA from 1 species